UACAGAGGUGGCAAGCGUUGUUCGGAAUUACUGGGCGUAAAGGGCGCGUAGGCGGCCUUCUAAGUCAGACGUGAAAUCCCCCGGCUUAACCUGGGAACUGCGUCUGAUACUGGGAGGCUUGAGUAUGGGAGAGGGAUGUAGAAUUCCAGGUGUAGCGGUGAAAUGCGUAGAUAUCUGGAGGAAUACCGGUGGCGAAGGCGGCAUCCUGGACCAUAACUGACGAUCAGGCACGAAAGCGUGGGGAGCAAACAGG
rnacentral:rRNA from 1 species